rnacentral:rRNA from 1 species
AACGAACGCUGGCGGCAUGCCUAACACAUGCAAGUCGAACGAUGCCUUCGGGCAUAGUGGCGCACGGGUGCGUAACGCGUGGGAAUCUGCCUUUCGGUUCGGAAUAACUCAGGGAAACUUGAGCUAAUACCGGAUAACGUCGCAAGACCAAAGAUUUAUCACCGAAAGAUGAGCCCGCGUAGGAUUAGCUAGUUGGUGAGGUAAAGGCUCACCAAGGCGACGAUCCUUAGCUGGUCUGAGAGGAUGAUCAGCCACACUGGGACUGAGACACGGCCCAGACUCCUACGGGAGGCAGCAGUGGGGAAUAUUGGACAAUGGGCGAAAGCCUGAUCCAGCAAUGCCGCGUGAGUGAUGAAGGCCUUAGGGUUGUAAAACUCUUUUACCCGGGAAGAUAAUGACGGUACCGGGAGAAUAAGCCCCGGCUAACUCCGUG